rnacentral:rRNA from 1 species
GUGGAUUAGAUACCCUAGUAGUCCACGCCGUAAACGAUGGAUACUUGUUGUUGGAGGUAUUGACCCCUUCAGUGACGAAGCUAACGCGUUAAGUAUCCCGCCUGGGGAGUACGGCCGCAAGGUUAAAACUCAAAGAAAUUGACGGGGGCCCGCACAAGCGGUGGAGCAUGUGGUUCAAUUCGAUGCAACGCGCAGAACCUUACCUGGGUUUGACAUGGUUUGGAAGGCUACCAGAGAUGGUGCCGCCCGCAAGGGCCGAAUCACAGGUGCUGCAUGGCCGUCGCCAGCU